rnacentral:rRNA from 1 species
GACGAAGGUGGCGAGCGUUACUCGGAAUUACUAGGCGUAAAGCGCGAGCAGGCGGUUCGACAAGUCCGUUGUGAAAGCCCCGGGCUCAACCCGGGGAGGUCAAUGGAUACUGUCGGACUUGAAUACGGGAGAGGUCACUGGAAUUCCUGGUGUAGCGGUGAAAUGCGUAGAUAUCAGGAGGAACACCGAAGGCGAAGGCAGGUGACUGGACCGUUAUUGACGCUGAGUCGCGAAAGCCGGGGGAGCAAACAGG